rnacentral:rRNA from 1 species
GCCAAACAACUAGCCUCAUCCCAAACCUAAACUGACAACAUAAAUAAUAAAGCAUAACCCAGCACAACAAAUUAAACCAUUUUAUUAUCCUAGUAUGGGAGACAGAAAAGAUCCAAGAAGAGCAAUAGAGAAAGUACCGCAAGGGAAUGAUGAAAGAGAAAUGAAACAAUUCACAUAAGCACAGAAAAGCAGGGCCUAAACCCCGUACCUUUUGCAUCAUGAUUUAGCCAGUAUCACCGAGCGAAGAGACCUUUAGUUCGACGCCCCGAAACCAGGUGAGCUACCCCGAGUCAGCCUAUAUAUGUAGGGCCAACCCGUCUCUGUGGCAAAAGAGUGGGAAGAACUCCGGGUAGGGGUGACAGACCUACCGAACCUGGUCAUAGCUGGUUGCCCGAGAAAUGAAUACAAGUUCAGCCUAGUAUCCUCCACAUUUAAUUAAGAGCGAAAAUUUAAAGGAAGAAGCACUAGAGUUAGUCAAGAGGGGUACAGCCCUUUUGACAAAGGACACAACCUUAGCAGGAGAAUAAAGAUCAUAACACAUAAGACCAAUUGUUUUGGUGGGCCUGAUAGCAGCCACCCAAUUAGAAAGCGUUAAAGCUCAGACAAAAUAAAGUUAGAUAUACCGACAACAAAUCUUAAUUCCCUAGGAAUACCGGGCCACCCCAUGCCUCCAUGGGAGAGAUAAUGCUAAAAUGAGUAACAAGAAGACUAGAACUUCUCCUAGCACAAGUGUAAGUCGGAACAGACUAACUGCCGACAAGUAACGGACCCAAAAAAAGAGGGAAUUGUGACCUACAAAGAGACCAAGAAGAUCCCACAGCAACUACCGUUAUCCCUACACUGGAGUGCACCCCAGGAAAGACUAAAAGGAAGGGAAGGAACUAGGCAAACACAAGCCUCGCCUGUUUACCAAAAACAUCGCCUCCUGCAACCAGCCAGUAUAGGAGGUCCAGCCUGCCCGGUGACUAUUAGUUUAACGGCCGCGGUAUUUUAACCGUGCAAAGGUAGCGUAAUCACUCGUCCUUUAAAUGGGGUCUAGUAUGAAAGGCUAAACGAGGGCUUAGCUGUCUCCCCUUCCAAGUCAGUGAAAUUGAUCUAUCCGUGCAGAAGCGGGUAUGAUUUUACAAGACGAGAAGACCCUUUGGAGCUUUAGGUACAAGACUUAACCACCUUAAGCAAGUUUACAAAAAUAUUUAUCCCGUGACAACUAAGACUUUACCUUCGGUUGGGGCGACCGCGGAGCAAAAUUUAACCUCCUAGUGGACAGGGGAAAACCCUUAGAACCAAGAUUUACACAUCAAAGUCACAGAAAUUCUGACCAGGACGAUCCGGACAUAAGACCGAUCAACGAACCAAGUUACCCUAGGGAUAACAGCGCAAUCCUCUCCCAGAGCCCAUAUCAACGAGGGGGUUUACGACCUCGAUGUUGGAUCAGGGCAUCCUAAUGGUGCAGCCGCUAUUAAGGGUUCGUUUGUUCAACGAUUAAAGUCCUACGUGAUCUGAGUUCAGACCGGAGAAAUCCAGGUCAGUUUCUAUCUGUAUAGCUAUUUCUUCCCAGUACGAAAGGACAGGAAAAAAGAGGCC